rnacentral:rRNA from 1 species
AUACGGAGGGUGCAAGCGUUAAUCGGAAUUACUGGGCGUAAAGCGUACGUAGGCGGUUCGUUAAGUUAGAUGUGAAAGCCCCGGGCUUAACCUGGGAACUGCAUUUAAAACUGGCGAACUAGAGUUGAGUAGAGGGGAGUGGAAUUUCAGGUGUAGCGGUGAAAUGCGUAGAGAUCUGAAGGAACACCAGUGGCGAAGGCGACUCCCUGGACUCGAACUGACGCUGAGGUACGGAAGCGUGGGUAGCAAACGGGAUUAGAAACCCUAGUAGUCC